GGGGGCGCACUGGUUUCGACCUGGGAGAGGCGCCAGAGGCGGCAUGCCGAGGACGAUGCGUUGGCCUCGUAAAUCAUCGCAUCAAAACAUUAACUGCUAACGAAGAGUUGGCUCUCGCGGCCUAAGUCCGCGACGUUCACCGGUUGACACCUGCUAUGCCGGAUGAACGCCACAGCAGGCAUGGGUUGAACGUGGAGUCAGGCGGGCGUUCACCCGAGAAAACCACCGCGGACUGGACCGUCGGAUUCGUGUCGGAAGGUUAUCCGGCGGUCGAGACCCUCUUCCGGCUAAGCAUGUAGGCGCGGCUGGCAAAUUUUUCAGGGACGGGGGUUCGACUCCCCCCGCCUCCACCA
rnacentral:tmRNA from 1 species